rnacentral:snRNA from 1 species
GUCUCGAAAAGGCCAUGAGCUU